UAGGGAAUAUUGCAUAAUGGGCGAAAGCCUGAUGCAGCAACGCCGCGUGUGCGGUGAAGGCCUUCGGGUCGUAAAGCACUUUUUGAGAGGAUGAGGAAGGACAGUACUCUCAGAAUAAGCCUCGGCUAACUACGUGCCAGCAGCCGCGGUAAAACGUAGGAGGCGAGCGUUAUCCGGAUUUACUGGGCGUAAAGCGCGUGCAGGCGGUAAGGAAAGUUGGAUGUGAAAGCUCCUGGCUUAACUGGGAGAGGUCGUUCAAAACUACCUAACUAGAGUGUGGGAGAGNGAGGCGGAAUUCCGGGUGUAGUGGUGAAAUGCGUAGAUAUCCGGAGGAACACCAGUGGCGAAAGCGGCCUCCUGGCCCAAGACUGACGCUCAGACGCGAAAGCUAGGGUAGCAAACG
rnacentral:rRNA from 1 species